UACAGGGGGUGCAAACGUUGCUCGGAAUCAUUGGGCGUAAAGCGCACGUAGGCGGUUUGUUAAGUCAGAGGUGAAAUCCCGGAGCUCAACUCCGGAACUGCCUUUGAUACUGGCAAGCUAGAGUCCGGAAGAGGUAAGUGGAACUCCUAGUGUAGAGGUGGAAUUCGUAGAUAUUAGGAGGAACACCGAUGGCGAAGGCAGCUCGCUGGGACGGUACUGACGCUGAGGCGCGAAAGCGUGGGGAGCAAACAGG
rnacentral:rRNA from 1 species